GCUCAGUGUUGGAGGCGGGGCCUGGUGGGAGGUGAUUGGAUCAUAAAGGUGGAUGCUUCAUAAUGGUUUAGCACCAUUGCCCCGAUGCUGUUCUCAUGACAGUGAAUGACUUCUUAUGAGAUCUGGUUGUGAAAAAGUGCAGCACUUCCACCCUCUGUCUUUUGCUCCUGCUCCGGCCAUGUAAGAUGAGCCUGAUUCCCCUUCACCUCUGCCAUUGUAAGUUUCCUAAGGCCUCCCCAGAAGCUGACCAGAUGCCAGCAUCAUGCUUCCUCUACAGAGGUGGAAGGCAUGAAAAUAGGUUAAAGAUAUAAUUGGGAAAGAAGUAGCACAGCAGCACUCAUGACAGCCAGGAUUGGAGGUUCAAUAAACUAUGGAUGGUGAUAAAGAAAUACAACUUGACAAACAGGGUACGCUUUACUACUAAUAGACUAAGUGGGGAGCCCAGGAAGGCCUGUUUCUCCAGAUUUUUCUUGGCCUCUCCAAGCACGCAUUCUUUCCUUCUGGGUGUCGGGCAGGACCCUCGCUGGAGUGGGAGUCUUAUGACCUACACGUAAGCAAGACAGGGUUUCACCAUGUUGAUCAGGCUGGUCUUGAACUCCUGACCUCAGAUGAUCAACCCACCUUGGCCUCCAAAGUGCUUGGAUUACAGGCGAACAGUAGUGUCCUUAGCCACAGUACAGUACUCAACAUCUUCCUCAACAAAAUACUCGAUAUCAGAUGGAAUGCGAUGGUUGCCUCCAUGGGACAAAGUAGGCUCUCCUGUGAAACAUCAAAUAAGGAAUAUGAAGAUUUCAUAAUUUUUGUAAAGAUGCAAAUAAAUUAUGCCCAAAGUUGAGAAGGAAUAGAAUAAAAUAUGUAAUCAGAAUCCAUUACUAUCUGAAAGUAUUCUUUUUAAAGCUCCCCAUGGCAUUUGUGAUUAGAGUCUUGCUUUAGUUUGACUGAAUAGUCAGCUGAAUAGUGAUCAGUAUGUGUGAGAAAAAUACAUAAGGCCAGGGAAAUAUCAGCAUUAAAUGAUCAGUGGCAAUAAUACCAGUGCCCUGAACUCACAGGCCCUC
rnacentral:lncRNA from 1 species